rnacentral:rRNA from 1 species
AACGAACGCUGGCGGCAGGCCUAACACAUGCCAGUCGAACGAAGUCUUCGGACUUAGUGGCGCACGGGUGAGUAACACGUGGGAAUAUACCUUACGCUGGGGGAUAACAUCGUGAAACUGAUGCUAAUACCGCAUACGCCCUUCGGGGGAAAGAUUUAUCGGCGAAAGAUUAGCCCGCGUCCGAUUAGCUAGUUGGUGAGGUAAUGGCUCACCAAGGCUCCGAUCGGUAGCUGGUCUGAGAGGAUGACCAGCCACACUGGGACUGAGACACGGCCCAGACUCCUACGGGAGGCAGCAGUGGGGAAUAUUGGACAAUGGGCGCAAGCCUGAUCCAGCCAUGCCGCGUGAGUGAUGAAGGCCUUAGGGUUGUAAAGCUCUUUCACCCACGACGAUGAUGACGGUAGUGGGAGAAGAAGCCCCGGCUAACUUCGUG